UCCCCCUGGGAUUACAGGAGUGUUGAAGAAAUGUUGUGACACAUCAGAACACCGCGAAAUACAUGGACACUUUCAAAUCAUGGAAGACUCAAGAGUCCUUGUUUUUGCCCAGUAUUAUAAACUGAGUUACAUAAAGGCAGAGCAAAUGCUAAAGCAAACUGUCCAGAAGGAAGGACAGCAGUAAGUGGAGAGACGUUAUUGCAAACAAGCACCUGGCAACAGCUGUGUUAGUUGCCCACCAGGUAUUUUUGAAAAAAGUACUCUGUGAAAAACAGAAACUGCAAGCAAGACAGAUACCAGGAUUAGGGAUCACGGUGACUUCUACCAUCGCUGGAUACUCCCAAAAGGGUUCUCGAGACAGCAGCUGUGUCUGCCCUGCUUUGGCAUUCUUUCCCAGGCAUGGCGACCGUGUGUUUUAUCAGCAGCAUGAAAACAAACUAAUACAAGAAUGAUAUAAUUUGGAUUUACGUUUGAAAAUACUUGAGACUAAUCUGUGUGUGGAUAGAGGUAGGAAAGGGGAAAGAAAUGGAGAUCCCUAGGAGGCUGUCAGUAAUACAGAAGAAACUUUAAUUAGAAGGAAACAGGAAUAUUCAACGGACUCCCAAGACAAGAAUAUAGAUGUAUAUCAGAAGCUGAGCAUUGAAGUUGCUACUAGAGUCUCCCCGAGCCCUUAUUGGAUUCUCACUUCAGGAGCUGCUUUCAUUAUUUUGCCUCUCAGUUUCAAAAUAGACAAAGAACUCAACACUCAACAAUAAGAAAAUGAACAA
rnacentral:lncRNA from 1 species